rnacentral:rRNA from 1 species
UACCAGCACCCCGAGUGGUCGGGACGUUUAUUGGGCCUAAAGCAUCCGUAGGCGGCCAACUAAGUCAGACGUGAAAUCCCUCGGCUUAACCGGGGAACUGCAUCUGAUACUGGAUGGCUUGAGUUCGGGAGAGGGAUGCGGAAUUCCAGGUGUAGCGGUGAAAUGCGUAGAUAUCUGGAGGAACACCGGUGGCGAAGGCGGCAUCCUGGACCGGCACUGACGCUGAGGAGCGAAUGCCAGGGGAGCAAACGGG